UAUAAAUAACUAUGUAUGUUUUAAGUUGUAAUUUAAGAAGAUUGGCGAACGAUCGAGCUUGAUGAUCUUUUUGAUGAACAUGAUUAUAUGACUCAAUUUUCUUUAAUUAAUUUCUAUAAUUUAAAAAUCUACAUGGUUAUUGAGAAAGUGAUAAAGAGCCGUUUUGUUUAGUUUUACCUAAAGUACAAAAACACAACGCAAAUCGUACUUAUCGUCAUUCUAUAUUGUAUUCCACGCAAUCGCCAAUUUUCUUUAAUUAAAAAUUCAGAAUGUUACGUUAUUUAUUUUAAAAUUGUAGGUGAAUUUUUUUUCAAUUUGACCCAAUCUAUACGUAUACGAGAAUUUUAUAUGUGAUUAUCAAAUACUCUGUAUACAAACAUGACCUAUAUGAGAGAAAUAUCUGAGAGAGCUUCAACAGCAGACUGAUAUGAAAAGAACAGACUGAUGAAAAGUUAACAAACGAAUAUUUCCGAUUAAUUUUUAUAUCCCAUGAAAUUUGAUAGGUACGUACCUGGCUCGUUUAUUUCAUCGGAUUAUUUUCAUCGAAUAUCCUUCUUUUUGGUCAAGUAUAAUCUCUUAUCGUCUGGUCGAAUAUUAGAAACGCUAUAUUUUUUUAUUAGAUUAAGCGCAAUGUUCGACUAAGUCAUGUUUUAUCGGAUAACACUUGAUCGGAUUUGCAAAUUUGCAGCAAAAAUCAAACAAAAUCUGUAGAAAUUUGAUGUCACAUUGCUAGCAGAAACUGAGCAGGCUCUACUAUUGCAGAAUCUACGCGUUUUUUGCUGCCAAUCUGCACGUAGUUGUCUACCAGUAGACUUUGCUACCAAAACACGAACUGAAUGUGGAUACAGAUGGUUAUGGUUUAAUUUUGAUGUGGAAUUCUGAUUCAAAUUUGCUGCCAAUCUGCGCGCAGUUUGCGAUUAAUUUGCUUACUCCCAAUGGGAGAAUUUGUUUUAAAUAGAAAAAUCCUUUCAUUGAACAAGACAGAAAGUUCACAGAUUCAUUCUAAAAAUUAUGGACAAUCUUACUGAAUAUUAACUAUUAUAGUGUAACUAUUAUAGUUCCAGUUUCUUUAAAUAAUCAAUAAAUAAUAAGUUAAUACACAUACACAUACACAUUAUUAAUGUGUAUAUAGAAAAUUGUAAUAUCCUAGUUAUACAUUACCUGAUAAUAUAAAAUAAAUUUGAUUUCUUAAACAAUUGCUACGAUAUAUUAGUAAUUGAAAUAAAUAUAAUCUUUAGUGUCUUUAUCGGCCACCAAAUGAGUGAAUGCUAUGUCUUAAAAAAAGUGCUAUUUUAAAAAAAGUGCUAUGUUAAAAAAAGUGCUAUUUGAACAGUUUAUUUAUUUUUAUAAUAACUACGAAUAUAAUAUAAGAGAUUUAUUUGUUAACACUUCUGACAGUUAUUUAUGCAAAUAUUGCGUUUAACAUUAAAUUUUUUGUCUAAAACAAAAAGGUAAUUCAUAUUUCACUUUCUCCUCUACACGUUGAAAUUCCGACUGAAGUCGCUUCGAUACGACUUCGUGCGUGUAAUUAACGUGUUUACCGAAAUUUUAUUAGCUUUACUCGCACGACUAUUAGUACUAAUCAAUGCACUUUGACGCUCGCAACAUGUAACAUUACGAUAUUAUGAAUACAUAAGUUCGCGAUAACAAACUCGUUACUUUCUCGUUUUCGCGAAACUAUUUCGGUCAAACUUACCAACGGAACAAACAACAGUUCCGACGUACGAGCGUAUAUUUUUUAUGCGAGCGUAUGUUUGUUUUAUAGUUAACGGUAGAUUACGAUGACAAGUGAUCGUCUUUUAAGGCACAAGGUAAUUAUCUGCGACCUCGCGAAAUUAUCUUCGCAGAUAAAGCCACGCUAAUUAUCAUCAGCUGCAAUACUUUGGUAAAACUACUGUACGAGACACAUAUAUCUCUCUAGCCCUUCGUCUAUAAAUUAAUAUUCACAACGCCGCUCUUUACGCCGACCUUACUUUGCUCUCCAACCAUAACCGAUGAGAAUGAUUUAUACCUGUACAAACGCCUCUUAAUCACGUAUAACUCAUUAUCUGAUGAAUUAUCGAAGUAAGAUAUAUUUAUCAAAGUACAUACAAAGUGCAAAUAGCGCAAGAAUUAUGUUAUUUAAUAUCAGCAAGAAUUAUGUUAUUUAAUAUCAUAUUCUAGGAGUCGAUAUCAAUUAAAAUAGAUAUCUGCUUAAAUCAAUAACUUUAAAUGAGAAAUGAAAAAUGAGAAGAAAAAUAGUACAAGCUAUAUAUAAACAGCUUCUCUCAGUAUGCGACUAAAGUACGAGAAUAUGGUUAGUAAGAGUUAAUUGUGGUUAUUAGUGCAAAUGUUUAAAUUGUGAGGAGAUAAUAAUUUCAACAAUGUAAUAACGCACUCACCGAGUAUUUUUCCGGGCUUAUCACUUAUACAUAAAAAAAUAUUUUAUUGCAAACGAUUAUUCAGUUUGUUCUUUUUUCUUUCCUUCCUUUUUUAAAUAAUAAUUAUUUUCAGUAAAUAAUAUUUGUUUGAUAGUAUAUCUUAAAAUAUACUCGUCAAAAAUUUUAGAAAAGCUAUUAUAUAUUCAGAAGAAUUCAUUUUCUUUAUAAGAAUAUUAUAAAAUUUUGUGAAACCAAAAAAUUAUGGUUUCACUUCAUAUAUAGUAAGCAAACCAAAUUUUUAUUUUAAUUUCACUUUUUUUAUUGAAUUAUUAAGCUUAUUAAGAUUUAGAACGAAUUUUAAAUAAAUUUGAUCCUUAUGACGAAUUUAGGUUAGAUUUACAAAUAUAUAAAUAUGAAAUACUUCAAAUAAGUAACAUUUACUUAAAUGUAGUAUGUAUUUUUCUGUGUGUAGGCAAUGAAUUUACCUUCCAUGUUAAACGGACUCCAUUUCAACUAUUUAUAAUUAUGCAUUUUCCCUAAAUGUCGAAAAGAUAGUGUUAGUCAAUCGACAACGCGAUCUUAGACCAAACUAACGCUUUCACAUUUUCUAAUAUUGAACCAUACAGAAAUUAUCACCGAAAUUAAAGGAAGACAUCCAGUAGUUGGCCAUAUGUCUCUCAGAUAGCAGGGAGAAUUCAUGUUUAUGUCGUCAAUUCUGGGUUCUUUUCAGAUGCAAAAAGAAUUCUUUUUAUAAAAAUUCUUUUUGUAUCUGAAACGGGAUUGGUAACACAUAAAAAUGAAAUAAAUUCUAAUGAAUUUUUUUUGAAUUCUCUAUGCUAUCUGGUUUGUUUUCAUUACUUUUGUGCGGAUAUCAUCAAAUAGUAAAGAAUAUGGGAAUUGAAAAGAAAAUAACUAAUAAUAAAUAACUGAUAUUAAUUGAUAAUAAAUAAAUAAUUAAUAAAUUCUGAUUCUCCCUCUCACACACAUCUAAAUACUUGAUAAGAUUCAAGCAAGAGUAUCGAAAAUAUAAACAUAAUGAAUGUCGGUUACUGCACAUUUUUCCCUACUAUAUACUUAUUUAAAAAUGUUACUGUACGUUUGACUUUUUCCUAUAAAAUUAUUGUAAUUACUUAAACAUCUUUUUAUAUCGUAUAUUCUGUAGACUAACAUCUACUAUUUCUAUAUACUAUUUCUAUCUUCUAUUACUAUCUACUAUUUCUAUAUACUGAGCAACAAAGUGGUUAAGUUAAUGAAAUUUUACUUGAACAAAUUCUGUUCAUUCAAGCAAACAUUUAAUCUCUUGAACAAAUUAUAUUGUUGCUGCGACGAGAGGGGGAGAGGGAGAGAGAGAGAGAGAGGAGUUAUCAAUUAAUUAAAUUGUCGUGAAUUAGUCAGUAAUUUUAUCAGCGCAAUUUAUUGUUACUCUAAUGCGUAAUUUGUUUAAUAGACACAAUAUUUCUUUGAAGGCGGGUGAUCACAGAUUUAGUAUAUCAAGCGACACGGUAGUGUCGUUGCGAAGCCAAGUGCAAGCGCGAAGCAACGCGGCCUACCGUGUAUAAUUACGCACCGGCUUUAGUUGAAUGUAGAUUAAAUUCUUAUUUCGGCUAUAACGGUUGAAUUGACGAAGUCAAUUCUUGAGGAACUUAAUUGAUUCCUUGGGUUUACAUUACAUAAUAAAACUGUCUUUACUUUUGCUCUACGUGCUCCAGAAGUUGAGCUAUCUUAGCUCAAAGUCUGAAAUAAUAUGUAUUAAUACAGUCCAGCUUUAUAAAAAAUAUUGUGAAAUGAAAAUAAUAUAAUUUUAACGUAAUUUUUACUAAAAUAUGUUCUCCGUGUAAUUGUUACGCAUUUAAGAAUUGAUAAAUUAAAAGUUGAACUCUAGAAAAAAAUUCUAUUAGUACGUCGUCGUCAGUGAUGCGUGAAGCGCGCGAUUAGACAGAAUUAAUUGCCGCGGAAAGAUUCGCGUGACAAUUUUCCAUAUCGCGGAAACGUAUCCCGUUCACUUCGGUCUUCCACUUCCAUUGUUAUCUCACUCCGUCUUCCUGCCCCUCUUCCUCCCGUUCAUUCGCCGCGCCCGUCAUUCCGCUUCCUGUGCCGUUUGUGGACAACGAGAGAACCCCCAAGAGAUUUUUGCUACAGUAUUGCUCGGUGCUGCCUCGCGUUUUUCUAGCUUAAACACCGGAUGUGUGUACCGACGAUGGUUUUGAAGCUACAAAAGCCCAACGUCUUAUUCUCGACCAGUUCACUCGUCGAUCGUCAGCUGAUCUGUGAAGGUAGUUUCGAGUGGCGCGUCCGUAUCUCUUGUCCGACAGACCUCGCCGAGACCGUUGUUACGUGUCUCGUCGUAUUGUCAAAAAGGUCGACCGGCUGGAUUAUGGGUGCGCGCUGCUGAUCACUGUGAAUUAAUAUAGUGGAAGAUAUAUAUAUCCGAAUAUAUAUAUGUAUAUGUCAGUCGGAGCGAGCGAAUCGAUGAAGAUGUCUGUGUCUGCGUUUUCAACGUCUACGACCUUUUCAUGAAGUGAACGAACAGACGACAAUGUUGAUCAAUAAUGUGGACUACGAGAAAAUAAAGGGCUGCGCGUCAGGCGGCAGCUCGCAAUGUUCUUACGUACAGUCUGAGAAGCGGCGCGAAAGAUCUCAAGGAGGACUGCGGAGCAGAAUUUACUCCAAAAUUCCGUUAAUCGCGCCUCACAAGAAUCUCCCAGAGAAUAUGUCUCGAG